UGGUUAUCAAGAAAGGUUGAGGGAUUAGACCCUGUGAAACCUUGGCAACCCUCCUGUAAUGGGAGAAGGUGCUAAAUUCUACUGCAUCGCAGAUAGAUAACAA
rfam:Gramella flava JLT2011, complete genome.